CUCGUAUUUAUAUACAAUCUUUGAUGUUUUGGAGGAAGACUAACCGUAUGACAGAAACCAUAGACACAGAAACAGUCGGAUUUCUCUUUUUACCAAUUUUCACAAGAUGCCUUCAUAAACUCAAGAAAAGAAAGCCUUGUGUGUGGAGUAUCUUUUGAUGGUUCGCUGGCUGUCUAGCAGUGCAGUCACGUAUAGUCACUAUGGUACAGUAUGGUAUAGUAUAGGAUAGAAUGGUAUAGUUAAGUAUAGCAUAGCAUCGUAUAGUACAGUCUAUAUUAAUAUAGUAGAGUAGAGUACCAUUGUGCCUCAAUUUUAGAGUCUGUAUCCUUUGUAGGCCAAAUGUGUCACAAUGGCCGUGAUUUAGAUGUGGAUUUAUCAGUCAGUGGAGGUUAGUUUUAAAUCUUAGUACUGUGUUACAACUCGCUCUGGUAAGUAACGAUAUAAAUGUGAAAAACCCAACAAAACUUUUUUUUAAUUUAAAGUUAUGUGGCAUUAGUGAUGUGUGCCACUUCGCUUUAAAACAUUUACUUUCCAGUCAUACAGCGUCACUGUUUGAGUUAUAUCUUGAAAAGAUUGAAGCAAUUUUCUAAUAUUUUAUGCUCAUAUUAGGGAAAUAUAUAGACCAAUGUUAACAAAUUUUAACAGAAUCCUUCUUGGACAGUUUAGUGUAAUUUUUAAAGUCCAGUACAGUUGUGGAGAUUGAUUUAAUGGCUAACAUGAACUUGGAUAUUUUUACUAUUUACAAAGCUACAGUUUUGUUUGUGAUAUACAGAACAACAAUCAGUUAUUCAUUGAGGCAAAAAAAUCAGCCACUUUUAACUGGAGUUAAGACAGCAGUAACCUAUCUGUACUAUCUCUAUUUCUAUUUAAUCAUGUAGUUAUUAAUGUUGAAGUUAUAUUAGAUUCCAUCCUAUACACAGCUCAUAGUAAGACAAAAAAAAUAGUGAAAUUGUCCUCAUUUUGCUGUCAUCAUAUCAUACGUUUUCGUAAGUUUGCAGUAGUGUUUAAAUGUUUCAUGUUUGUUUUCUCCUUCUCUCACAUUUUCUCUUUGAUUAAGACAAUGCUGGAGGAAAUGGACUGGCAGGAAAAGGUCAGCCCCCGCAGGCCAAAAAAGUGGGGUAACUUAAAGACGAAAUACAAUUGCUUGGUGUCCUCCAGUCCUCUCUUCUCUGCCCUCUUCCUCCUCUUCCUCCAUGCUUUCUCAUGUCACUCCUCCCACUGUUCUUCCCCAAAUUACGUAAGGCCCAAGUAAGGCAGUAGUGGAAGAUGAUCAGGAGGAGGAGGAGGAUGAAAGCCAGCCAUCUCCAGCAGACAGACGGAUAAAUAUAACUGACGGAUCCUGUGGACACAUACCAUCACCUGCACAAUUCUACUGCCGCAUCUUCUCCCACAUCCUGCCCACUAAUCCACUCUUUUCACCGUGCAUUGCAGGUACCCCAUCUGUCAUUAGUCCUACCAGCUUGUUCCAAGAGAGUUUCAUGUCAUUCACACAAUAAGACACUUGUUCAUAUAUGUCUUUCCCCACGGUUGUGCCAUGCAUUGCUUUAAUACCCAAAAGUUCCUCUUUGAUGCAUAAAUCAGAGUUCACUCCUCAGAUGAAGACUGACAGCUGAGCAGUAUCCAUUACGUUGCUGUUUUCAUCCACAGCAAGGAAUAAGCUAUGAAGUCUUUUCCAUUAGGUGAUUUUGUAGAUUGGUGGCAAGCUGACAUGUCCGAUCGGCAUCGAUGUUUCUGCUCAGGCUUACUUUUGAAAGUGCUUGCUCUUUGUCUGGACAGACGACCUCGCACACUUAAAUCAUGCAGUUCUCAACAAACUCUCCCUCUGUAAAUGGCCGGGCUGAUUUAACAAUUCUUUUGCCACAAUAAAACUAGCUUUAACGGCAGCCUCACUUUGAGAUUUUAUAGUCUGCUGUGACACCAGAUUUCUUUUUGGUUUUUCUGCCCUGUGAAGCCUCUGCUGAACAUUCAGAUCCUUCUAUCUGUCCUUGUGUUUCAUUGUAUAGUCUGAAGUUACUCACUUUGAAGAUGGCCGCUUCAGCUCUGCAUAAAAGAGAAACCGGUUUUCUCAUUAUGCUAGUGAACAUAUACUCGAUCGCUCAUCCGCCUUGAAAUCCUGUUUUCAGAGUCCGCCUUUUGUUUGGACAUGUCUUGGGGGUUAGCGUACAGUUCAAGCAAGCAGACACAGUGAUCAUGAAACUGAUGAGUUUGUCAAUAAAGUUGGGCGAAGCGUCGGAGCUAUUCUUCUUCUUCUUUUGGUUUAUUGGAAGGAGGCAUCCAGCAUUGCCUGCUGUGUUAGGGUGUGGACCAGAGCACUAUCCCCCAGCUAUUGCAAUGCAGUCUGGGAUUUGUAGUAUCAAUGGAUGGACUUAACAGAGUAUGACCCUAAUAGACGAAUUGAGAUGUGUGAAUGGUUUUCCAAUAAAUUGGAUGAAAACAUCUGUUUUACUGAAGACUUUGUGUUGUUCAACGAUAAAGCUUUGUUUUAUGUGAAUGGCGAGGUUAACAGACAGAAUGUUCGAUACUGGGCCCAAAGCAAUCCACGUUUUGUGGAUUAUUCCAAACAGCAUUGAGCACCAAAAAUGUAUGGUGUGGUGUGGUUUGUGGAAAGCUCAUGUCUUGGGGCCAUUCUUCUUCGAUUUACGUGUAACUAGUGAGACUUUUCUAGCCAUGCUGAGAGAUCAGUUAAUGCCCCAACUUGGAAGUCUAGGUAAAGGACUACCUGAAUAGUUCCAACAAGAUGGUGCCUCUGCCCAUUUCGCCACGGUGGUAAGAGAUUGGUUGAAUGACAAUUCCCCUAACUGGCUUGGAAGACGUGAUCAUGUGGAGUGGUUCCCUCGUUCACCAGACCUUAACCCCCUUGACUUCUUUUUCUGGGGUAUGCUGAAGGAGAAGAUGUGCUCAAUGAAAAUCACAGAUGCAACACACUUGAUUGAACGCAUAAAGAGAGAACGUGCUAAAAUUGACGGCAAUGUGGAUUUAUUACAUCGAAUUCACAUGAAUUUUGCAAAGCGCAUCAACCUUUGCAUUACAAAUGAUGGAAAUUGUAAGGAACAUGUUGUUUGUUAAUAAUCCUAUUGAAUAAAAUGUUUCAAAAUGAAUUACUUGAAAAUAUGUACUUUUGCCUAAGUGUUCAGACUGAGGGACACCAUGUACUUAUGUAUGUAAAAGCUCCUUCUUUGUCAUGGGAAUAUAAACAUCCAAGCAGCAUUCCUGUCUAACUGACAGACAUUUGGCAGACUAUCUCAGAGCAGCUAUAACUGACCAACAACCAGAACUGAAAGUAAUUGUGAAAAGAAUGCAAACUUCAAGCUCUGACUAGGAAAAAGAAACAAAUGUUAUUGUUAUUCAUAUUUUGCCCCAUAUUCAAUGAUGUUCUUCAAACUUUUUUAAUGUAAUCAAAGUGCAGUUAUUCACUCCAGUCAGUACACAACAUUUGCUGCGCAAAUUGAGAAUUUGUUAAAUAUUCCAUGAUGCUUUGGAAUAGAGCCACAGAGCUGGUGCAUUUUAAUACAGUGCAUAACCAGAAGGGGGCGAUAUUACUCUGUGAAAGUGAAUCAAGUCAGACACUGUGAUUUAUAGAGCCAAUCAGUGCUCCAAAAUCACAUACAAGAGAGACACUGGAAAACUUUGUGCAAGAGAGAUGAACCAAAAGAAAGGCCAUGAAAUUGAUAUUUCAUGGCCUGUAGAAAACGUCCCAAUAGAGAGACACUGAGCUAACCACAUAUUUCACAGCUCCGUUGGUUCAUCAGCUCAGCUGACUUGUUUGCAGCCUGUAUGUUUUCAUUACCAGCCUCUUCUACAUAUUUUAGUUACACAACUGACAAACAACUUGUGAUUAAGUGAUGCAUAACAAAUAAAAAUGGUGCUUAGAACAAUAGGGGAACAAA